ACAGCGAAACUGCGAAUGGCUCAUUAAAUCAGUUAUCGUUUAUUUGAUAGUACCUUACUACUUGGAUAACCGUGGUAAUUCUAGAGCUAAUACAUGCUAAAAACCCCGACUCACGAAGGGGUGUAUUUAUUAGAUUAAAAACCAAUGCCCUUCGGGGCUCUUUGGUGAUUCAUAAUAACUUUUCGAAUCGCAUGGCCUUGCGCCGGCGAUGGUUCAUUCAAAUUUCUGCCCUAUCAACUUUCGAUGGCAGGGUCUUGGCCUGCCAUGGUUACAACGGGUAACGGAGGGUUAGGGCUCGACCCCGGAGAAGGAGCCUGAGAAACGGCUACUACAUCCAAGGAAGGCAGCAGGCGCGCAAAUUACCCAAUCCCGAUUCGGGGAGGUAGUGACAAUAAAUACUGAUACAGGGCUCUUUUGGGUCUUGUAAUUGGAAUGAGUACAAUUUAAAUCCCUUAACGAGGAACAAUUGGAGGGCAAGUCUGGUGCCAGCAGCCGCGGUAAUUCCAGCUCCAAUAGCGUAUAUUAAAGUUGUUGCAGUUAAAAAGCUCGUAGUUGAACCUUGGGCCUGGCUGGCCGGUCCGCCUCACCGCGUGCACUGGUUCGGCCGGGCCUUUCCCUCUGGGGAACCCUAUGGUCUUCACUGAUCGUAGCGGGGAACCAGGACUUUUACUGUGAAAAAAUUAGAGUGUUCAAAGCAGGCCUAUGCUCGAAUACAUUAGCAUGGAAUAAUAAAAUAGGACGUGUGGUUCUAUUUUGUUGGUUUCUAGGACCGCCGUAAUGAUUAAUAGGGACAGUCGGGGGCAUCAGUAUUCAAUUGUCAGAGGUGAAAUUCUUGGAUUUAUUGAAGACUAACUACUGCGAAAGCAUUUGCCAAGGAUGUUUUCAUUAAUCAGGAACGAAAGUUAGGGGAUCGAAGACGAUCAGAUACCGUCGUAGUCUUAACCAUAAACUAUGCCGACUAGGGAUCGGACGGUGUUAUUUUUUGACCCGUUCGGCACCUUAC
rnacentral:rRNA from 1 species